UCUGCAGUUUACCUACGCAGUCACAUAGUCACAUUUAGCUACAAGGAACGCUGGGGAUUGAAUCUAUGGAUAGAGCAUUAUAGAAACAGUUAAGGGUCUCAGGGAAGGAAGGAAGGAAGGAAGGAAGGAAGGAAGGAAGGAAGGAAGGAAGGAAGGAAGGAAAGAAGGAGGCAAUCACAUGCUCUUGUGUGUAACCUGCAAACAGUUGUCUCCUUGGCUCUGUUUACAGACCAGGGCCUUCUGCUUCCUGUCUCUUUCUAGGACAUGGGUUUGAGGGCAGUACUGCCUUUUUAGUAGAGACAACCUUUAAACAGUAGUUUUUAUUUUAAACUUAUCUUUAUAUCUUUAUUUUUCUUUAACUCAUGAACUUUUAAAGGCAGUGCUGGCAGGUGUGGGUGAGAAUUACUACAAAUUCCUCAGUAAACUUUAGGAUCAUCUCAGCUUAUCAGACAAUAAAAUCGUUGGAACUUGGUCCAGUAGAAGGAAAUUACCAGCAGUGUAGUCAUUGUAUACAUGUAUUUAUGUUGGAUACAAAGUGGAAUGUGCUUUCAUAUUUGAAAAUUUGCAAUCAUAUUAUUUAUUUUAUUUUACAACUCAUGUUUGUUUUAA
rnacentral:lncRNA from 1 species